UACGAAGGGGGCGAGCGUUGUUCGGAAUUACUGGGCGUAAAGGGCGCGUAGGCGGCCCCUUUUGUCGCGUGUGAAAGCCCCGGGCUCAACCUGGGAACGGCGCGCGAAACGGGGGGGCUUGAGUUCGGGAGAGGAGAGUGGAAUUCCCAGUGUAGAGGUGAAAUUCGUAGAUAUUGGGAAGAACACCGGUGGUGAAGGCGGCUCUCUGGACCGAGACUGACGCUGAGGAGCGAAAGCAUGGGGAGCGAACAGG
rnacentral:rRNA from 1 species